rnacentral:rRNA from 1 species
UACGUAGGGGGCAAGCGUUAUCCGGAUUUACUGGGUGUAAAGGGCGUGUAGGCGGGAUUUCAAGUCAGAUGUGAAAACCGAAGGCUCAACCUUCGGCCUGCAUUUGAAACUGAAGUUCUUGAGUGCUGGAGAGGCUAACGGAAUUCCUAGUGUAGCGGUGAAAUGCGUAGAUAUUAGGAAGAACACCAGUGGCGAAGGCGGUUAGCUGGACAGUAACUGACGCUGAGGCGCGAAAGCGUGGGGAGCAAACAGG